rfam:Gossypium hirsutum cultivar TM-1 chromosome 22, whole genome shotgun sequence
AUAGCAUGAUGAGGACACUUACGAAACAAUUCUUUGAAUCUUUCCCACGCCUCGUACAAGGACUCAUCAUCCAAUUGUUGGAAAGUGGUUAUCUCAUUUCGCAACUUU